GAUGAACGCUAGCGGCAGGCCUAAUACAUGCAAGUCGAACGGUGUAGCAAUACACAGUGGCGCACGGGUGCGUAACACGUAUGCAACCUACCUUACAUUGGGGGAUAGCCUUUCGAAAGGGAGAUUAAUACCGCAUAAGACAGUAACUGGGCAUCCAGUAGCUGUUAAAGAUUUAUCGAUGUAAGCUGGGCAUGCGUCCAAUUAGUUAGUUGGCGAGGUAAUGGCUCACCAAGACGAUGAUUGGUAGGGGAACUGAGAGGUCAAUCCCCCACACUGGCACUGGGAUACGGGCCAGACUCCUACGGGAGGCAGCAGUAGGGAAUAUUGGGCAAUGGGCGCAAGCCUGACCCAGCCAUGUCGCGUGCAGGAAGAAGGCGUUAUGCGUUGUAAACUGCUUUUAUACAGGAAGAAACGACCCUUGCGAGGGGCAUUGACGGUACUGUAUGAAUAAGCACCGGCUAACUCCGUGCCAGCCGCCGCCGUAACAC
rnacentral:rRNA from 1 species